rnacentral:rRNA from 1 species
GACGUGAGGCGCGAGCGUUGUCCGGAUUUAUUGGGCGUAAAGGGCGCGUAGGCGGCUACGCACGUCCGUUGUGAAAUCGCUCGGCUCAACUGGGCGGGGUCAGCGGAUACGGUGUAGCUGGAGCAAGCUAGGGGGCAAUGGAAUUCCCGGUGUAGUGGUGGAAUGCGUAGAUAUCGGGAGGAACACCAGUGGCGAAGGCGGUUGCCUGGAGCUUUGCUGACGCUGAGGCGCGAAAGCGUGGGGAGCGAGUCCGG